rnacentral:rRNA from 1 species
AGGGUUUGAUUAUGGCUCAGGAUGAACGCUAGCGGCAGGCCUAACACAUGCAAGUCGAGGGGCAGCACAAGGAUAGUUUACUAUUUUGGUGGCGACCGGCGCACGGGUGAGUAACGCGUAUGCAACCUACCUUAUACAGGAGUAUAGCCCGAAGAAAUUCGGAUUAAUCCUCCAUAGUAUUUUCUAAUGGCAUCAUUUGGAAAAUUAAAGCUUCGGCGGUAUAAGAUGGGCAUGCGUCCUAUUAGCUAGAUGGUAAGGUAACGGCUUACCAUGGCAACGAUAGGUAGGGGGCCUGAGAGGGUGAUCCCCCACACUGGUACUGAGACACGGACCAGACUCCUACGGGAGGCAGCAGUGAGGAAUAUUGGGCAAUGGAGGCAACUCUGACCCAGCCAUGCCGCGUGCAGGAAGAAUGCCCUAUGGGUUGUAAACUGCUUUUAUUUAGGAAUAAACCCUUCUACGUGUAGAAGGCUGAAUGUACUAAACGAAUAAGCACCGGCUAACUCCGUGCCAGCCGCCGCGGUAAUAC